rnacentral:lncRNA from 1 species
CGGCCCCACUGUGACGCCUGGGUGACACAGCCACCGCUGCCCCGCUGCCCAUUGUGACGCCUGGGUGACACAUUUCCUGCGUCCCAUUUCCCUGGGACAGCCAAACACCUUGCUGGGGAACGCAAUCACCUCCCUUGAAGACCAAAGAUCUCCCUGGGGGACCCAAGCAUUUUCCCAGGGCGUGCUGCCAUCUCCUCAGGGCGUUCAAGCACAUUCCAGGAGCACACAGUCUUCUCCUGGAGGCACCCAAGAACAUUCCCAGAGCACCCAAGCAUCGAUUUGGAGCAAGAAAGCACAACACAGGGGCACCCAGGCAUGUCUCGAAAGCACCCAAGCAUCUCCUUCGUGCAAUCUAGCAUCUCCUCAGGGUACACAAGCACCUCCAGGGGCAUCCAGCUAUCUUCCUGGGGACCCCCAGCACUUCCCUGUGGUCCACAAGCACUUCCCAGGCGGACACAAGCUUGUUUCCAGUAAACCAAUGCUUCUCACCUGAGGAAACACACAUAUCCCCACAGCACCCACGCAUCGUUCUCCAGCGCUCAGCGCUCUCGUUGGAGCAUGCAAGCACCUCAGCGGGGCAAACAAACACCUUCUCAGGGAACUCAACAACACUCUUGGAGCGCUCAAGCACCUCCCUGGAGCACACAAACUGCUCUCUGCAGUACUCAUGCACAUCCUGGGGCACCCAAGUGGCCCCAGAGCAAUAGAGCAUCUUCCUAGAGAGCCCGAAGACAUUCCCAGGGCACACAAGCAUCUACCCGGGGUACAUAAGCAUAGCCCUGGGCCACAAGAAAAGCCUCCCUGGAGCACACAAAGUUAUCCCCUAAUCACACACAGUUCUGCCCAAUCACCCAAGCAUCUCCCUGCAGCACAGAAGCACCUGCCUGCAACACCCAAGCACCUCAUUGGAGUGCCCAAGAUUCUUCCCACAGCACUCGUGCAUCUGAGUGGAGAACGCAAGCAUCUCCCCAGGGCUGCUCAGUGUCUGGGUGACACCAAGCAUCCCCCUGCAACAUGCAAUUUCCUCCUUUUGGAAACCGAGCAUGGCCUUGGCGCACACAAGCACCUCCCGGGAUCAGCACGGGGAGGUGCUUGUGCGUACCAAGGCUGUGAUGGGUGACACAGAGUGAUGCUUGGGGAUCCUGGGGAUCUACCUCUCCUACCCCAGGGAGAAGUUAGGGUACUCCAGAGAGGUCUCUGCGUGCUUCACAGAGGUGCUUUUUGAA